CAGAGAUGCGCUCCGAAGGGACACAGAAGACUGAGCUGAGAGCUUUCUUCCGUUCUGUAGCCUGUCUGACUAAAGGAUCCCAUAAAGGGCGAGAGAAAGGUGUCCACUGGAACCAGAGGCUUCCAACCACUGCCGACGGCUGCUGGGAACUCGUAAAAGCAAGCCACGACCGCCAAGACCUGAACGCAGUGAUAUUCAGCACAGUGUCGUGCAAGAGAACCUCAGAUCCGACGAGCCCCGACGACACACCAGAGGGUCAUUUGGCAGUUGUGUCAGAUGACCUCUGAAGUCCGUGCUGAAGUCUGCGACGUGUAUAUAUUACUCUGCUGCUGCCCGAGCUGUGGAGUGUGACAAUGGUGUUUGUGUCCUGGCUAUCAAACGCCAUUAUCACACUAAAUAGCUACUGGUAGACAAGACAUCAAUUCAGAAAAGUAUGUCAACUGUAGCAAUACAUCUUCCCUUCAUGCUGAGGAAUAAAUAGAUUUUUUACAUAUA
rnacentral:lncRNA from 1 species